rnacentral:rRNA from 1 species
UGGGGAAUAUUGCACAAUGGACGGAAGUCUGAUGCAGCAACGCCGCGUGCGGGAUGACGGCCUUCGGGUUGUAAACCGCUUUUUCUCAGGACGAAGUUUUUUGACGGUAGUGGGGGAAGAAGCACCGGCUAACUACGUGCCAGCAGCCGCGGUGAUACGUAGGGUGCGAGCGUUGUCCGGAAUUAUUGGGCGUAAAGAGCUUGUAGGCGGUUUGUCGCGUCGAUAGUGCAAACUCAGUGCUUAACGCUGAGCCUGCUGUUGAUACGGGCAGACUAGAGGAAGGUAGGGGAGAAUGGAAUUCCCGGUGGAGCGGUGGAAUGCGCAGAUAUCGGGAGGAACACCGGUGGCGAAGGCGGUUCUCUGGGCCUUUCCUGACGCUGAGAAGCGAAAGCGUGGGGAGCGAACAGG